ACAACAGCUCUUUCCUGGCCUCAUUCUCGUCCUGGGUUCAGCAGUGACCACCAGUGGCCCGGGCCUGCAGGAGCAGGGGCUCCGGGCGGUGACCUUCAUACCUGCAGGAACCUUCUCCACCUGCCUUCCCCAGGCUCAUGGGGAGCCACUGAACCGAGGUCCAGGACAGGCUUCUACUAUUCCGUCCCCACUUGACAGCUCCUCCUUCUUCCCCACCAACCGCACAGAAGGCCGUCACUGAAACUGUGGUGUUACCAUCCACCGACAGAGAGCAGCGUGGAUAAGAGGGUUAGACCUUCCUCCAGCAGCCAGGAAGAAGGAGUCAGGAGGAAAAGGAGGCAGUACUUUGUGGCAGGCAUGGAUGCAGCCAUCAACUCAAGACUUAGGACAAAGCCUGAUGGGACAUGCCGUGGCUGAUGCUCGCUCUUCAUUGGCUGAGGCUGUUUGGAAGACGCUGGGCCAAGGGCUCCAGGUUCCAGUUCUUCAGGGACUCACAGCCCACAAGGAGGCCAGGUGACCCGAGGACAGAGCAGACCUGCUCAGCUGAGUCCCAGCAGCUACAGCCAAGCGCACCCAGGGCUGGGAUGCUUCGUCCCUCCAGGCUCCACCAUCCUGGGGGGUGAGUACUUGGGUUCCCCACUGAUGGCUGCUCAGCUGAGCCCACUGGAGCUCCAAGAGGGGGUGUGACAUGGCCGAGGAGCUCACACUGGCUGAGUUCAAGUGGAGGGCUUGGUCCGCCAUCCGUGCCACACUCACGGCCACCCCUGAGUGCAGCUGGCUCAGACUGGAGUGGCCCUGCAGGCUCCUGGCAGGUGGGGCUCUGCGGCUUCAGAGACAGGACCGUCUCCUUCCAGUUACUUCACCCACGAAGGACCACAAGCACUGCAGUUCCCUUCUCUAAGCACUGCGGCUUGCACUCGUGGAUCGUUGAUUUCACUCACUUAAUACACACUCGCGGAGCGUCGCCUGCGCCCUCACGUGCUGGGCACUGGGUUCCAACAGUGAGCAAAACAGACAAAACCUCCUGCCCUCACGAAGCUUAUAUUCUGGAAGAGUCGGCAAGACAAUGAGCAAAAAUAAAGAAGAUAUGCCCUGCACCAGGUGGCGACAACCUCUGGGCAGAACAAA